UUUUUGUGUUUGUUGUAUGUGAUGUUAGAGUAUGUUUGUCGUGUUCCAUCACGGGAAAAAAAAUGCAUGAUCGUUACAGCCAUAAAAACGACCUGUGACGGAUGCAUCACUGCACUUAAGGCGGCAGAGUCGAUGCAGAGUCAGCACUUUUUAUAGCUGCAAAGGCAGUAUGGUGACAAGGAUGUUUCUUCUGGAGGGUACUCUCCAUAAUCCAUCCUUUUUAAGGUCGCGAGCAGUACCAUAAUAUGAAUGUGAUUUUUAUGUAAUAGUGCCAGACACAUUUAGGUGUAACCACAUUGUUACUUUGUUGUGGCGUCUAAUUUCCCCAGCAGGCACAAGACAUUAAAGGCCUACUGAAAUGAGAUGUUCUUAUUUAAACAGGGAUAGCAGCUCCAUUCUAUGUGUCAUACUUCAUCAUUUCGCGAUAUUGCCAUAUUUUUGCUGAAAGGAUUUAGUAGAGAACAUCCACGAUAAAGUUUGCAACUUUUGGUCGCUAAUAAAAAAGCCUUGCCUGUACCGGAAGUAGCAGACGAUGUGCGCGUGACAUCACGGGUUGUGGAGCUCCUCACAUCCUCACAUUGUUUAUAAUCAUAGCCACCAGCAGCAAGAGCGAUUUGGAUCGAGAAAGCGACGAUUUCCCCAUUAAUUUGAGCGAGGAUGAAAGAUUUGUGGAUGAGGAAAGUUAGAGUGAAGCACUAGGAAAAAGAAAUUGAAAUAAAAAGGCGACGGCAGUGGGAGCGAUUCAGAUGUUAUUAGACACAUUUAGGAUAAUUCUGGAAAAUCCCUUAACUGCUUAUUGUGUUACUAGUGUUUUAGUGAGAUUAUAAAGUCAUACCUGAAAGUCGGAGGGCUGCGUUGACCGCCAGUGUCUCUGAGCAAAGCCAUAUGGAGGAGCCAAGAAAGUCGCAGCUGCCUUUUUGACAGCUGCUGCAGGAGGAUGCAAACUCCGCUCAAGUAUCCGGUAAGAGCCGACUUAAUAUCACAAUUUUCUCAUCCAAAAACUUGCUGGUUGACAUGUGGUAGAGAAACAUGUUCGCUUGACCGCUCUGUUCCAUAUUAAAGUUUCACAACAAAAACAGAGAAACACCGGCUGUGUUUUGGUUGCUAAAGGCAGCUGCAAUCCACCACUUUCCACCAACAGCAUUCUUCUUUGACGUCUCCAUUAUUAAUUGGACAAAUUGCAAAAGAUUCAGCAACACAGAUGUCCAAAAUACUGUGUAAUUGUGCGAUUAAAGCAGACUACUUUUAGCCAUGAGUGGUGCUGGGAUAAAAUGUCCACUCCAACCAAUAACGUCACAAGCACGCGUCAACAUAAGCGUCAUCAUUCCGCGAUGUUUUCAACAGGAUACUUCGCGGGAAAUUUAAAAUUGCAAUUUAGUAAACUAAAGCGGCCGUAUUGGCAUGUGUUGCAAUGUUAAUAUUUCAUCAUUGAUAUAUAAACUAUCAGACUGCGUGGUGGCUAGUAGUGGCUUUCAGUAGGCCUUUAAGGUCGCGGGCGGUGCAAUAAUAUGAAUCUCAUUUUUAUGUAAUAAUGCCAGAGCCAGCAUGAGCAUCAUUUAGGUGAAACCACAUCGUUGUUUUGUUGUGGCGUCUAAUUUCCCCAGCAGGCACAAGACGUUAAAACAAUGUUGAUUAUACAUCAUGACCUUCAAAACAUCCAUCCAUUUCCUACCGCUUGUCCCUUUACGGGGUCGCUGGGGCCUAUGUCAGCUGCAUUCGGGCUGAAGUGAAGUGACGUGAAUUAUAUUUAUAUAGCGCUUUUCUCUAGUGACUCAAAGCACUUUACAUUGUACAAACGCACAGGUUAUAUUCUCCUUUUUGUGUUUGUUGUAUGUGAUGUUAGAGUAUGUUUGUCGUGUUCCAUCAGGUAAAAAAACUGCAUGAUUGUUACAGUGUGCAUGGCCAUAAAAAACGAACUGUGAUGGAUGCAUCACUGCACUUAAAGCGGCAGAGUCUACGCAGAGUCAGCACUUUUUACAGCUGCAAAGGUAGCAUGGUGACAAGGGUGCUUCUUCUGGAGGGUACUACCACUCCAUCAUCCAUCCAUCCAUCUAUUUUCUACCGCAUGUCCCUUUUAAGGUUGUGGGCGGGGCCAUAUUAUGAAUGUCAUUUUUAUGGAAUAUAGUGCCAGAGACAGCAUGAGCGUCAUUUAGGUGCAACCCAUCUAUCCAUCCAUUUUCUACUGCUUAUUCCCUUUGGUGUCGUGGGGUGUGCUGGUGCCUAUCUCAGCUACAAUCGGGCGGAAGGCAGGGUACACCCCGGACAAGUCGCCACCUCAUCGCAGGGCCAACACAGAUAGACAGACAACAUUCACACACUAGGGACCAUUUAGUGUUGCCAAUCAACCUAUCCCCAGGUGCAUGUCUUUGGAGGUGGGAGGGGCCUAUCCCCAGGUGCAUGUCUUUGGAGGUGGGAGGGGCCUAUCCCCAGGUGCAUGUCUUUGGAGGUGGGAGGGGCCUAUCCCCAGGUGCAUGUCUUUGGAGGUGGGAGGAAGCCGGAGUACCCGGAGGGAACCCACGCAGUCACGGGGAGGACAUGCAAACUCCACACAGAAAGAGCCCGAGCCCGGAAUUGAACCCUGACUACUCAGGACCUUCGUAUUGUGAGACAGACGCACUAACCCCUCUGCCACCGUGAAAACAAUGUUUUGUUGUGGCGUCUAAUUUCCCCAGCAGGCACAAGACGUUAAAACAAUGUUGAUUAUACAUCAUGACCUUCAAAACAUCCAUCCAUUUUCUACCGCUUGUCCCUUUUCGGGGUGGCGGGGGGUCGCUGGGGCCUACGUCAGCUGCAUUCGGGCUGAAGUGAAGUGAAGUGAAUUAUAUUUAUAUAGCGCUUUUCUCUAGUGACUCAAAGCGCUUUACAUUGUACAAACACACAGGUUAUAUUCUCAUUUUUGUGUUUGUUGUAUGUGAUGUUAGAGUAUGUUUGUCGUGUUCCAUCACGGGAAAAAAAACUGCAUGAUCGUUACAGUGUGCAUGGCCAUAAAAAACGACCUGUGAUGGAUGCAUCACUGCACUUAAAGCGGCAGAGUCUACGCAGAAUCAGCACUUUUUACAGCUGCAAAGGUAGCAUGGUGACAAGGGUGCUUCCUCUGGAGGGUACACGCCAUCAUCCAUCUAUCCAUCCAUUUUCUACCGCUUGUCCCUUUUAAAGGCCUACUGAAAUGAGAUGUUCUUAUUUAAAGGGGGAUAGCAGCUCCAUUCUAUGUGUCAUACUUCAUCAUUUCGCGAUAUUGCCAUAUUUUUGCUGAAAGGAUUUAGUAGAGAACAUCGACGAUAAAGUUAGCAACUUUUGGUCGCUAAUAAAAAAGCCUUGCCUGUACCGGAAGUAGCAGACGAUGUGCGCAUGACGUCACGGGUUGUGGAGCUCCUCACAUCCACACAUUGUUUAUAAUGUGAGCCUCCAGCAGCGUGAGCUAUUCGGACCGAGAAAACGACAAUUUCCCCAUUAAUUUGAGCGAGGAUGAAAGAUUUGUGGAUGAGGAAAUUUAGAGUGAAGGACUAGGAAAAAAUAAAAUAAAAAAAUAAAGUUAAAAAAAAGGGUGAUUGCAUUGGGAGCGAUUCAGAUGUUUUUAGACACAUUUACUAGGAUAAUUCUGGGAAAUCCCUUAUCUUUCUAUUGUGUUGCUAGUGUUUUAGUGAGUUACAUAGUACCUGAUAGUCGGAGGGGUGUGUCCACGGGUGUGUUGACGCCUGUCUCUGAGAGAAGUCCCGAAGCUGCAGCAGGACAGAAGCUCCGCUGAUCUCCGGUAAGAGGCGACUUUUUACCACAAUUUUCUAACCGAAACCUGCCGGUUGACAAGUGGUCGGGAUCCAUGUUCGCUUGACCGCUCUGAUUCAUAGUAAAACUUCACCUCCAGGAAUUUUAAACAAGGAAUCACCGUGUGUUUGUGUGGCUAAAGGCUAAAGCUUCUCACCUCCAUCUUUCUACUUUGACUUCUCCAUUAUUAAUUGAACAAAUUGCAAAAGAUUCAGCAACACAGAUGUCCAGAAUACUGUGUAAUUAUGCGAUGAAAAGAGACGACUUUUAGCUGCAAGUGGUGCUGCGCUAAUAUGUCCCCUCCAACUAAUAACAUCACAAACAGGCGUCAUCAUAAGCGUCAUCAUAAGCGUCAUCAUACCGCAACGUUUUCAACAGGAUACCUCGCGGGAAAUUUAAAAUUGCAAUUUAAUAAAGUAAAGCGGCCAUAUUGUCAUGUGUUGCAAUGUUAAUAUUUCAUCAUUGAUAUAUAAACUAUCAGACUGUGUGGUCGCUAGUAGUGGCUUUCAGUAGGACUUUAAAAGUCGCUGUAAAAAGUGAGAGCCAAUGAAUAUGUGCAAGCUUUAUAAUCUGACUAGUUGACUAUUCGUUAAGAUAGUCGUUGACAAGUCGACUAUCAAAAUAGUUGUUAGGUAGUUGCAACCUGGCCUGACAUCGAGUAAAUGUCGUUAAAAAGAAUGUUGUUCCAAUACUAGAUUUGAGUUGCUCAACGUCAGGAGCUAAUUCAACAAGUUCUCAACGUUGUUUCAAUGUCUUGUGCCUACUGGAGUGAGGAGAGCCUGUCACUGAAGCAGAUUGUCACCAUGGCGAUGAACAUGUGAAGUAGCACAGAACAUGCUACCAGGGAUUUUGUCAGCAGGCUUACUGCUAAUAAAGUUCGGUUAAAGGGGAACAUUAUCAGCAGACCUAUGCAAGCGUCAAUAUAUACCUUGAUGGUGCAGGAAAAAGACCAUCUAUUUUUUUUAACCGAUUUCCGAACUCUAAAUGGGUGAAUUUUGGCAAAUUAAACGCCUUUCUGUUUAUUGGUCUUUUAGCGAUGACGUCAGAAUGUGACGUCGCCGAGGUAACACAGCCGCCAUUUUCAUUUUCACAUUACAAACACCGGGUCUCAGCUCUGUUAUUCUCAGUUUUUUCGACUAUUUUUUGGAACCUUGGAGACAUCAUGCCUGGUGGGUGUGUUGUCGGAGGGUGUAACAACACUAACAGGGAGCGAUUCAAGUUGCACCACUGGCAAGAAAUCUGCCGCCAGACCCCCAUUGAAUGUACCAGAGUGUCUCCACAUUUGACCGGCGAUGCUAAGACAGACAUGGCACAGAGAUGUAUGGAUAACCUGCAGAUGCAUUUGCAACCAUUAAGUCAACCAAAUCACAAAGGUUUCGGUGAGAAAAUUGUGGUACUAAGUCGGCUCUUACCGGAGACAUGAGCAGAUCUUGCGCCCUCCUGCAGCUGUCAAAGAGGCAGCUGUGACUUUUUUGGCUCCUCCAUGGCUUCCAUCAGAGACACUGGCGGUCACCACACCUCUCCGACUUUCAGAUGCUGCGGAGCUAGCACUGAGCGCUGGGACGGAGAGGCUUCGCGGUGUCUUGGCUGGGUGAGCAGGUGUCGGACACCUCAGUCACCUUGGACGUAUCCUCCCUCAUCCAUGCGGACUGGACACUGGCCGAGAGUGGAGUCGGCUGUCUUGGUUGCUUUGUUGGGUCUGCUUCUGUCUCUGGCCAUGCUCCCUCCACCCCAGUGGACGAUGGCGUGGAACACCGCAGAGGCCACCACAGUGGAUAUGUUUAUUUUACUUUUUAUUCAUAGCUGUAUGUAGAAGUGUCUGCUUGUAUCUGCUGCUUUAAUGUCUUUAAUGUCCUAUGUGUUCUUUAAUGUUUGAUGUUUCCCUCUUACACACAUGGAAGAGGGAUGUGUACUAUGGCUAUGAGUUGUCGUUGUUUUUUUUGUUUUUUUUUUCCCUUGGCCUCAGUCUGCACCCCCUCUCCAAGGCCCAGGCUAAGACCGAUUUUUUUAAUUUAAUUUUAAUCUUCUAUUCCCCCCCCCCCCCCUUGUUUACCUGUAUUUCAUCUUUUUUUGUAAGGGGCGCUGGAAGCCGGCAGACCCGUCAGUGAUCCUGUUCUGUCUCCCUGUAAUGUUUGUCUGAUCUUGAAUGGGAUUGUGCUGAAAAUUGUAAUUUUCCUGAAGGAACUCUCCUGACGGAAUGAAUAAAGUACUAUCUAAUCUAAUAUAAUAAGAUCUUUAGGGGCACUUAGCAUAUUAUGAAUUGAUUGUAUUUCAUUUCAACGGGUGACACUGUUUUGCAGUACAAGGUACGAGCUGCUUCAAAGAACCAAUAAAACUUGUAUUUCGAGAUACCACUCUAGUCGGAAUUUACAAAAGAAAAAGCCAUUAUUUACAAAAAUUAAGUUCUACUACCUGCAGGGUAUAUUACAAAAAUAAAAUUCAUAUUUUAAAAGCGUAGACACAGACUUUAACCUGGAAAAAUCAGAAAAAUAUGUAAACAAAAGAGAAAAGUCAGUACAAGAAUUAUGUUGCAUAACUUUUUCCCCCCCCACUAUUUUACUUUACACUACAACUUUUUCCCCCUAAACAUUCAGAGUGUCAUUUCAUGUAUUUCCCCCUGGUAUUUCAUCUUGCCCCCUAUGCUUUCAGUGUAAUACUUCAGCAUUUUAUUAAAAACUGAAUCAAAGUAAAAAGAGGCACAGAUCCCUUGUUACCUUUAAAAGAAAGAAAGAAAAAAAAACCCAGGACAGGAGGAUUAUUCUGUAUAACAACAAUACUUUCUGACAAAGUGUGAGCUUUUUACUUGCAGUUAGAUUUGGGACAAAAACAUAGCAACUUAUUUAAAUUAUAGUCAUUAAUUUAUAACACGGCACUCUCCUGCUGCUGUGUAAAUGAGGUUACGGGGAUGAGGGCAAAAUAGCUUUUAACCAUUAUUAUUACUCAGCGGAUUAGCUCUGACGCACUUUGGAAGCAAAUGGAACAUUUUCAGAAAUACUUUACUUUUCUCUGAAUCCUCUCGUCCAGGGGUGUCAAACUCCUUUUGUAUUGAAGGCCACAUUGCAGUUAUGGCUGCCCUCUGAGGGCCGCUUGUAACUGUGAGUGUGUGUAUAUACAUACAUAAAUACAUACAU